rnacentral:rRNA from 1 species
CCAACCGGGAUUGCCUUAGUAACGGCGAGUGAAGCGGCAAAAGCUCAAAUUUGAAAUCUGGUACCUUCGGUGCCCGAGUUGUAAUUUGGAGAGGGCAACUUUGGGGCCGUUCCUUGUCUAUGUUCCUUGGAACAGGACGUCAUAGAGGGUGAGAAUCCCGUGUGGCGAGGAGUGCGGUUCUUUGUAAAGUGCCUUCGAAGAGUCGAGUUGUUUGGGAAUGCAGCUCUAAGUGGGUGGUAAAUUCCAUCUAAAGCUAAAUAUUGGCGAGAGACCGAUAGCGAACAAGUACAGUGAUGGAAAGAUGAAAAGAACUUUGAAAAGAGAGUGAAAAAGUACGUGAAAUUGUUGAAAGGGAAGGGCAUUUGAUCAGACAUGGUGUUUUGUGCCCUCUGCUCCUUGUGGGUAGGGGAAUCUCGCAUUUCACUGGGCCAGCAUCAGUUUUGGUGGCAGGAUAAAUCCAUAGGAAUGUAGCUUGCCUCGGUAAGUAUUAUAGCCUGUGGGAAUACUGCCAGCUGGGACUGAGGACUGCGACGUAAGUCAAGGAUGCUGGCAUAAUGGUUAUAUGCCGCCCGUCUUGAAACACGGACCUCCUGUGUGAAAGGA